ensembl:lncRNA
CGUGCCUCUCACUCCCACGGCUCUCCCGGCCCAGCGAGUAGUGGCGGUGCUUCCCCGGGGGACUCUCCCAACCCCUGGGGGUCCAGCCACCUGCAGCAGGUGUGUGGCCGCUCCCCCAGCUGCCGUGUUUGCAGGAUGCCCGCGUGGAUGACCGGCAUCCUCUCUUGAACUUCAGCUCUGCGAGGACGGGCAUCUUUGCCUGUUCCCUUCACCAGUGGGUCCCGGUCGCCUGGCACAUACAAGUACUUAUGGAGCCCACUGUAUGCAGGGCCGGCAGCACAGGUUCCUGCCCUCAGGGCGCAGACCCUCUGGUCAAGAGCAAUUGUGACGUCAACUGGUAAAGGGGAGGAAAGAUGAAGCCAGAGACGGGCUGCCGGGAGGAGGGGUCAGCCGACCAGGCAGGGGUAGGCCCGGGGCUCCCAGCCCCACCCCGCUCUCCCCCCGGCUGCCAGAUGCUGGGCUGUCGUAACUGCGGGCAGCUCGGGUUGCCAAACACCACCACAGCUGCGUCACUGAGAGCCUGGGGGGCCCAGAGGCUGGGGGGUGGGGGCAGCCCCCUUACCCAGGCUGGUUUCGGCCCCCAGGUCAGCCAGGGCUGGGUCAAAGUUCAGCCCGGCAUCCACGCUUAGUCACUCUCCGCAGUGGGGCUGCCUGGCUACUUGCUGCUGUGGUUUGUUUUCAGCUUUUGCACCAGGAGAUCAGGAAUCCGCAUCUCUGCCUCCAAGAGAGAAAUGAAGCACGCCGGGGCCGGGAGACCUCAGGGCCUCCCCCACGCCCUCCCUCCAAAGGGGCCUUCAUCCUGAGCUUGGCCUUCAGGACCCUGUGUGUGACGUCACAGUGUGACCUUGCCGACCUCUGUGUGUCCCUGGGCAGGUCACUUAACCUCUCUGUAAGGUGGGGGUGAUAAGAGUCCCUGCCUUGGAGGCCUGGUGGGAAUAAAUGAGCUAUCUAUCUGUGUGAGGCUCCCAUGAGGGCCUGGCACACAGUAGGCGCCAAGUAAGCGCCGGCUGUGGUCCUUACUGUCCCUGAGCCUCCAGAAGAGGGGACAGAGCGCCGUUGCUGGUGUGAGGGUCACUCGGGGUGAGGCCAGCGGCCACGUCAGCGGCUGACUGUGGUGUGGUGGCGCUCAGGUGUUCUGGUUCAUUCUGUUCCCCUUCCUGUUGGGUUCGCCCUUCCCACCAGCUCUGAAAACCCGGAGUCACCCUGCCCCCAGCCCCAGGCCUGGAGACUGAAGGAUGGGUCUGUGGAGCGAAUGAAGGGGGCUCAGUUUCCUCAGCUGUACAGUGGGUCUUGCAGGCCCAAGGAAUGAGCAAGUGCCUGAGGACAGUGGGCGCUUUGGGAACCCGUCUGUAUUUCCUCCCUUCCCAGCUGUGCUCCUCUCCCCCUCCCCUGGGUGGGGGGCGGCCCGGACCCCACCCACCCCAGAACAGGCGUUCUGCCCACAGAUCUGGGCUCCCCACGGACUCAUUCGUUCAUUCAUACCUUCACCCUGUCAGUAAUUUUUUUUUAAAUUUUUUGGCCGCACUCCAUAGGAUGUGGGAUUUUAACUCCCCGACCAGGAGCUCCCCUGCAUGGGAAACACCGAGUCUCAGCUACUCGACCACCAGGGAAGUCCCUCAACAACUUUUUUGAGCACCUACUAAACUCCAGUCUGCAGGGAUAUGGAAACGAAGAAAACAGGCAAAAAUCUCUGUAGAUAUUCUGUUAGUAGAGACAGCCAUCAGAGAUAGUCCACUGCGUGGAGCCGGGACUGGGGGACCACGGUGGCUGGAGGCAGGCAGACGGGAGGGGAGCCUGGAGUCCUGUCCACCCAUCAGAGAACAGGAGGGAGGUCAAGUAACCCCGGAGAUAGGCUCAGGAUGUGGCAGCUGUGGAUUUCUCCCUUCUUCUGGGGAACUGGAUCAGGCAUCAGCAUCACCUCCAGCAUCACCUCCAACAUCAUCCUCCAGCAUCACCUCCAGCAUCACCACCAUCACCUCCAGCAUCACCACCAUCACCUCCAGCAUCACCUCCAGCAUCACCUCCAACAUCAUCCUCCAACAUCACCUCCAGCAUCACCUCCAAAUUCAUCCUCCAGCAUCACCUCCAGCAUCACCACCAUCACCUCCAGCAUCACCACCAGCAUCAUCACCAUCACCUCCAACAUCACCACCAAGACAACACUUGGGCAGUGGCUGUCGGCCAUUGCACUGCUCACUCCUGUCUGGCCAGGCACUUCCGAGAUGGGACCUCCUUGCAGUUCCACAUGGCGUGACGUCCCAGGAGGGUGUUCAUAGCACAUUUAGCACCAGCCCAAGAUUGAAAUCAGAGAAGGCAACGGCACCCAACUCCAGUACUCUUGCUUGAAAAAUCCCAUGGAUGGAGGAGCCUGGUAGGCUGCAGUUCAUGGGGUCGCUGAGGGUUGGACACGACUGAGCGACUUCACUUUCACGCAUUGGAGAAGGAAAUGGCAACCCACUCCAGUGUGGAGAUUCCCAGGGACAGGGGAGCCUGGUGGGCUGCCAUCUAUGGGGUCACACAGAAUCGGACACGACUGAAGUGACUUAGCAGCAGCAGCAGCAAGAUGGAGAUAAGCCCAGUGGUACAUCACCUGUCACCCGUCAAGACCACCAGAUCCAUCCAGAAAGCAGAGGGAGGGGCCGGAUGGUGAAGGAUUUUGGAGCACAGACCUGGGAGCCCGCCUGCCUGAGUCUGAGUCCUACCUCUGCCAAGCACAGCUGUGUGCCACUGGGGAGGCGCCUUGACACUCCAGGCCUCAGUUUCCCCAUCUACAAAAUGGAGAUUAGAACCUCCUGAUAGGAUCGCUUCACCUUUCUGAUGCAUUCAUUAAUCCAUGUAAAGCAUCUGGAACCAUGCCCAGCACACAGUAAAUCCUUUGGAAACCUUUGCUGCCGUUAUUAUUAUUGUGAACAUUAUGGUUAUUAUUCCUCGGCAAAGUGAAAGUCACUCAGUCGUGUCCAACUCUUUGCGACCCCAUGGACUGUAGCCCGCCAGGCUCCUCUGUCCAUGGAAUUCUCCAGGCAAUAAUACUGGAGUGGGUUGCCAUGCCCUCCUUCAGGGGAUCUUCCUGACCCAGGGGUUGAACCCAGGUCUCCCGCAUUGCAGACAGAUUCUUUGCUGUCUAGUGGUGGAAAUAUGGGUUCAUCCUAGGGAGAAAAGGCAGGCCCAAAUGUAAAGCGGGCUGCCAGUUGGAGGAAAAGGCAAGAAGACCAACUCGAUUGUGUGCGUAGCUGCUCGCAGCCUCUCAGGAGAUCUGAGACACUGCAAACACUGGAUUUGGUGCAGGGAGUGUGGACUCGCGGGCAGUGGAGAGCCA